rnacentral:ncRNA from 1 species
UUAGAUAGAGGUCGCACGAUUCAUCAGUAUUCCUUUAGAUGUAGCAGCUACAGAGGAUGAAGGGAGAAAGGGGAAAGUGCCGAAAGAGGGAGUCCGCUGCAGGCUUCUUCUUGGGCAUGGGGUUAACAGCCACAUGACUGUCAUCUUAUACUUAUAGCAAGGUGAUGAGCUAUAG